GACAGAGGUCGCAAGCGUUGUUCGGAUUCAUUGGGCGUAAAGGGUGUGUAGGUGGCGCGCUAAGUCGGGUGUGAAAUUUCGGAGCUUAACUCCGAAACUGCAUUCGAUACUGGCGUGCUUGAGGACUGGAGAGGAGACUGGAAUUCAUGGUGUAGCAGUGAAAUGCGUAGAGAUCAUGAGGAAGACCAGUGGCGAAGGCGGGUCUCUGGACAGUUCCUGACACUGAGACACGAAGGCCAGGGGAGCAAACAGG
rnacentral:rRNA from 1 species